GGAAGGAUCAUUACCGAGUGCUGGGUCCUUCGGGGCCCAACCUCCCACCCGUGCUUACCGUACCCUGUUGCUUCGGCGGGCCCGCCUUCGGGCGGCCCGGGGCCUGCCCCCGGGACCGCGCCCGCCGGAGACCCCAAUGGAACACUGUCUGAAAGCGUGCAGUCUGAGUUGAUUGAUACCAAUCAGUUAAAACUUUCAACAAUGGAUCUCUUGGUUCCGGCAUCGAUGAAGAACGCAGCGAAAUGCGAUAACUAAUGUGAAUUGCAGAAUUCAGUGAAUCAUCGAGUCUUUGAACGCACAUUGCGCCCCCUGGUAUUCCGGGGGGCAUGCCUGUCCGAGCGUCAUUUCUCCCCUCCAGCCCCGCUGGUUGUUGGGCCGCGCCCCCCCGGGGGCGGGCCUUGAGAGAAACGGCGGCACCGUCCGGUCCUCGAGCGUAUGGGGCUCUGUCACCCGCUCUAUGGGCCCGGCCGGGGCUUGCCUCGACCCCCAAUCUUCUCAGAUUGACCUCGGAUCAGGUAGGGAUACCCGCUGAACUUAAGCAUAUCAAUAAGCGGAGGAAAAGAAACCAACCGGGAUUGCCUCAGUAACGGCGAGUGAAGCGGCAAGAGCUCAAAUUUGAAAGCUGGCCCCUCCGGGGCCCGCGUUGUAAUUUGCAGAGGAUGCUUUGGGUGCGGCCCCCGUCUAAGUGCCCUGGAACGGGCCGUCAGAGAGGGUGAGAAUCCCGUCUUGGGCGGGGUGUCCGUGCCCGUGUAAAGCUCCUUCGACGAGUCGAGUUGUUUGGGAAUGCAGCUCUAAAUGGGUGGUAAAUUUCAUCUAAAGCUAAAUACUGGCCGGAGACCGAUAGCGCACAAGUAGAGUGAUCGAAAGAUGAAAAGCACUUUGAAAAGAGAGUUAAACAGCACGUGAAAUUGUUGAAAGGGAAGCGCUUGCGACCAGACUCGCCCUCGGGGUUCAGCCGGCACUCGUGCCGGUGUACUUCCCCGGGGGCGGGCCAGCGUCAGCUUGGGCGGCCGGUCAAAGGCCUCCGGAAUGUAGUGCCCCUCGGGGCACCUUAUAGCCGGAGGUGCAAUGCGGCCAGCCUGGGCUGAGGAACGCGCUUCGGCACGGACGCUGGCAUAAUGGUCGCAAACGACCCGUCUUGAAACACGGACCAAGGAGUCUAACAUCUACGCGAGUGUUCGGGUGUCAAACCCGUACGCGCAGUGAAAGCAAACGGAGGUGGGAGCCCCCCCGCGGGGCGCACCAUCGACCGAUCCUGAUGUCUUCGGAUGGAUUUGAGUAAGAGCGUAAAUGUGGGGACCCGAAAGAUGGUGAACUAUGCCUGAAUAGGGCGAAGCCAGAGGAAACUCUGGUGGAGGCUCGCAGCGGUUCUGACGUGCAAAUCGAUCGUCAAAUUUGGGUAUAGGGGCGAAAGACUAAUCGAACCAUCUAGUAGCUGGUUCCUGC
rnacentral:misc_RNA from 1 species